rnacentral:rRNA from 1 species
UACGGGGGGAGCAAGCGUUGUUCGGAUUUACUGGGCGUAAAGGGCGCGUAGGCGGCCACCGCAAGUCGACUGUGAAAUCUCCGGGCUUAACUCGGAAAGGUCAGCCGAUACUGCGGGGCUAGAGUGCAGAAGGGGCAACUGGAAUUCUCGGUGGUAGCGGAUGAAAUGCGUAGAUAUCGAGAGGAACACCUGCGGCGAAGGCGGGUUGCUGGGCUGACACUGACGCUGAGGCGCGAAAGCUAGGGGAGCGAACGGG